rnacentral:lncRNA from 1 species
GUGAUAUAAGUAUAAGGUGUGAAAAUAAAUGUUCCUGUCAUAAACAAUAUUACCUAAGGGCAAUAUCCCCGUACUUAAUCCUAUUGAUUUUUAAUCACUGGUAAACCAAACUAUGACACGGUCAUCUUCGCUAGCCAAGGGUUACGAUCCACUCCCGUUCUCUUCACCCUUGGCAGAUUGAGCUAACAUUUGUGAUAUCAAUGUUGCGCCAUCUAUCGGAAGAUUAAAGUCAAGCCCAUUCCGAAUACAUUAUUCUUGACCAAUGGUAGCACUUGAACUCUUCAAUUUGGAGAUAUAAACACGGUAGCGUCUAGAUUCUACACACUUGGUAAAGCCGGAAACGAAAAUAUACGUCAACAUUCAUGCAUUUUUGUGCAUGAAACAUACACAGGAACUUCUAUUAGUUGAUUAAAAACAUUCAAGUUGUCACUAAAUAUAGUCGUAUGUUUAGUAAUGUAAAGACAUGUUGCACAAUAAACACGUGGCAAUUGUUUACAAACACUUUC